AUUUCCCGCGAGACCCUGGAAGCGGAUGGUAUUGCGGUGAGCGAAGUCGCCAGUGCCCUCAA
rnacentral:ribozyme from 1 species